rnacentral:tRNA from 1 species
GGCGAGAUAGCCUAGCUCGGUAGGGCGUAGGAUUGCUAAUCCUAUGUUGCUUUGCAACUCGGGGGUUCAAAUCCCCCUCUCGUCG